GCAUAUCAAUAAGCGGAGGGAAAAGAAACUAACAAGGAUUCCCCUAGUAACUGCGAGUGAAGCGGGAAAAGCUCAAAUUUAAAAUCUGGCGUGCCUCUGGUCGUCCGAGUUGUAGUUUAGAGAAGCGUUUUCUGUGUUGGACCGUGUAUAAGUCUCUUGGAACAGGGCGUCAUAGAGGGUGAGAAUCCCGUCUUUGACACGGACUACCAAUGCUUUGUGAUACGCUCUCAAAGAGUCGAGUUGUUUGGGAAUGCAGCUCAAAAUGGGUGGUAAAUUCCAUCUAAAGCUAAAUAUAGGCGAGAGACCGAUAGCGAACAAGUACCGUGAGGGAAAGAUGAAAAGCACUUUGGAAAGAGAGUUAAACAGUACGUGAAAUUGCUGAAAGGGAAACGCUUGAAGUCAGUCACGUCUGCCAGGACUCAGCCUUGCUUCUGCUUGGUGUACUUUCUGGUUGGAUGGGCCAACAUCGAUUUCGACCGUUGGAGAAAGGCUUUGGGAAUGUGGCACCUUCGGGUGUGUUAUAGCCCUUUGUCGUAUACAAUGGUUGGGAUCGAGGACUGCAGCAUGCCUUCAUGGCCGGGGUUCGCCCACGUACAUGCUUAGGAUGUUGGCAUAAUGGCUUUAAGCGACCCGUCUUGAAACACGGACCAAGGAGUCUAACAUGCCUGCGAGUGUUUGGGUGGAAAACCCAUGCGCGUAAUGAAAGUGAUAGCUGAGAUCCUCUCAUCAGGAGCAUCAGCGCCUGGACUUGAUCUACGGAGACGGUUCUACGGUAGAGCAUGUAUGUUGGGACCCGAAAGAUGGUGAACUAUGCCUGAAUAGGGUGAAGCCAGAGGAAACUCUGGUGGAGGCUCGUAGCGAUUCUGACGUGCAAAUCGAUCGUCAAAUUUGGGUAUAGGGGGCGAAAGACUAAUCGAACCAUCUAGUAGCUGGUUCCUGCCGA
rnacentral:rRNA from 1 species